GCGCGAAAACUUUACAAUGUGCGAAAGCGUGAUAAGGGAACUCAAAGUGCUUAUACAAUAGUAUAGGCUUUUGCCAAGUUCAAAUUGCUUGGCGAAUAAGUGGUGGGCAAGACUGGUGCCAGCCGCCGCGGUAACCCCAGCGCCACGAGUGGGAACCAGUAUUAUUGGGUCUAAAGCGUCCGUAGCAGGUUUGUUAAAUUGCUUGUGAAAUCGCAUAGCUUAACUAUGCGGAUUGCAGGUAAGACUGGCAGACUUGAGACCGGGAGAAGUUGGAGGUAUUCAUAGGGGAGCGGUAAAAUGCGAGAAUCCUAUGAGGACGACCUGUGGCGAAGGCGUCCAACAAUAACGGGUCUGACUGUGAGGGACGAAAGCUAGGGGAGCGAACCGG
rnacentral:rRNA from 1 species